GACGAACGCUGGCGGCGUGCCUAAUACAUGCAAGUCGAACGCUGAAGAGAGGAGCUUCCUCUUCUUGGAUGAGUUGCGAACGGGUGAGUAACGCGUAGGUAACCUGCCUUGUAGCGGGGGAUAACUAUUGGAAACGAUAGCUAAUACCGCAUAACAAUGGAUGACACAUGUCAUUUAUUUGAAAGGGGCAAUUGCUCCACUACAAGAUGGACCUGCGUUGUAUUAGCUAGUAGGUGAGGUAAUGGCUCACCUAGGCGACGAUACAUAGCCGACCUGAGAGGGUGAUCGGCCACACUGGGACUGAGACACGGCCCAGACUCCUACGGGAGGCAGCAGUAGGGAAUCUUCGGCAAUGGGGGCAACCCUGACCGAGCAACGCCGCGUGAGUGAAGAAGGUUUUCGGAUCGUAAAGCUCUGUUGUAAGUCAAGAACGGGUGUGAGAGUGGAAAGUUCACACUGUGACGGUAGCUUACCAGAAAGGGACGGCUAACUACGUGC
rnacentral:rRNA from 1 species